UACGUAGGGGGCAAGCGUUGUCCGGAAUCAUUGGGCGUAAAGCGCACGUAGGCGGUUCGUUAUGUCGGAUGUGAAAGCCCUUGGCUUAACCGAGGAAGUGCAUCCGAAACUGGCGAGCUAGAGUACUAAAGAGGAUCGCGGAAUUCCCGGUGUAGAGGUGAAAUUCGUAGAUAUCGGGAGGAACACCGGUGGCGAAGGCGGUUCUCUGGGCCUUACCUGACGCUGAGGAGCGAAAGCGUGGGGGAGCGAACAGG
rnacentral:rRNA from 1 species